AAAAAAAAAAAAAAAAAAGAAAAAAAGAAAAAAAUGAGAACUGUUGUCUUUUGUUCACUAAGCAUGUAUUGGUCACCUGCUGUCUGCCAGGUUGGAGCCAGAAAAGUGAAAACGCAGCCCCUAAAUCCCUGUUUUCUUGGAAUGCACACACCAUUGGGGUCAACAGUGACUGACAAGAAAUUUCAGUAAGCAAGGCCUGGGAAGAAAAGGUUGGGGUUUCCCUGCCAUCCUGCCCCAGCCCCUCAUCCUCAACUCACCAUCAACCCUUCCACGAUCCCAAAUCGCUCGUGGAUGACCUUGGCAAGGGGGGCCAAGCAGUUGGUGGUGCAGGACGCGUUGCUGCAACAGCCAAGGUGUGCACGGGCACUGUGAGGUGAGUUGCAGAGCCACCCCUCCACCCUUACCCCUCUUGGGGUAUGCACGCAGACUUGGUUUUGUGAAACGUCAGGAUGAGGGUGAGAGGGAUCUGUGCAGACGCCGUCAGACUGAAGGAGGCACCGAGAUGCAGCUGGGGAGGCUCCCCAAGCUUGUCCUCCUGAAGUCAUGCGUGUUUAGCAGAUAGUUUCGGGAAGGAGAAGUAGAAGCCGAGUGACCAGGAAUCCAGUGGAGCUGAGAGUGGGGAGGACGAGUCUACCCUCCCUUCCACGCAUUGCAGGAUGUCGCUGCCCCCCUUACCUCACAAUGUUCAUGGAGCCAGGGUUAUAGUCGUUUUCAUUCACACCCAUGACGAACGUUGGUGCAUCCGGCGAGGGCGCGGAGAUGACCACACGUUGAGCACCUGCUGAGAUGUGGUUCUGGGGAGGAAGCGCGGGUGUCAGGUGCUUCUGGUGCCAUCAUCCCCCCAGCUGGCCCUGGACACCUCUCCCCGGCUUACCGAAGCUGCCUCUAUGGAGAGGUACACGCCUGUGGACUCCACCACGUAGGGGCUCCCGACAUCCCUCCAGGGGAUCUGUUUGGGCUCCUUGCUGUGGGGUAGUGGCAGGGCUGAGUCAGUCUCCCCUGCCUGAGCCCCACCUUCAUAGUCCACGGCCUUCACCAUUUGAAAGGUUGAGCAGAUGCCGGCCACCUGCAACUACCUGCGUCCCCCACCGACAUACCUACUUGCUCCAGAUGAGCUCCACCCCGCUGGCCUGGCUUUUCACCACUGCCCCACUUCGGACCAGCUUCCCUUUGUUGAUUGCACCACCUCUCCUAUGCCUGGGUACAGGCAGUGACCUCCCCAACUCAGCCCUCAACCUCCUCAGAGGCGCCAACCCUGACUGCUGUCAGCCAGCUCAGACCCUUUCUCCGUAUGCUGCCCGGGAUGUGGACUCUGUGACUGUGAGGCCUGCCCGGCUGCUUUCUGGUCCCCAACCCCGACAACCUCGCCACGAACCCUCCUAGACCCUCAGUUCCUGCAAUAGGAAGCUGGCUGCCAAGGGCCAGGAGAGUCCCUGAAAACAGACACUGCAUUAAACAGAAAGCUCCUGGAGGACGCCUGAAGCCUGAGGCAGCCUUGGGGCAGCAGUGGCUCGUGGUUUACAUUAGAAAGGUAAGUGGGGGGAGGUUUCUGGUUUCCUGUUUUAUAAAUUUAUGUUUUUACUUGGUAUUUUGACAAACGUAUUUGAAACACAUUAAACAUCUAGUAUUGCCGUUACCUACUUGGCUUUAGCAAACAAGCAUUAAGUGAAUAAACUGUAUUCCACUUUCUUCCUUCCUAGGUUUAUC